UACAGAGGUCCCGAGCGUUGUUCGGAUUCAUUGGGCGUAAAGGGUGCGUAGGUGGCGCGCUAAGUCAGGUGUGAAAUUUCGGAGCUUAACUCCGAAACUGCAUUUGAUACUGGCGUGCUUGAGGACUGGAGAGGAGACUGGAAUUCACGGUGUAGCAGUGAAAUGCGUAGAUAUCGUGAGGAAGACCAGUGGCGAAGGCGGGUCUCUGGACAGUUCCGU
rnacentral:rRNA from 1 species